CUGGGCAGGAGAGAACUAUUGGAAUCUAUGAAGGAGGAGUUAAGGCAAAGAGGGGCCAGUCUGGAAAGGAGUGACAGGAAGCUGGGGCUUCAGGAAGAUGUAACCCGUCCCCUGGUGGAUCCCACAGGAGGUGACCCAGAGCUGUAGUCAUGAGCAAAGUCUCUUCUGAUUCUCAGAAAACCUUUGACCUCUGGAACAACUGCUGGCCACAUCCCUAAAUUCAUUAGCACCUCCAUCAGAAGCUGGGCGCUUGAUCUUCCAGCAGAGUGAGGCAGACCUCCCAACCCCACUGGCUACUCUGUUAAAGCCUUUGUACGGAAAGCCACACGGCCCAGUUCUCAAGCAGUAAGAUGGUUCCCUUGGUUGUAAAUCGACCUUCAUAUUAGCAAAACCGAAGGGUGAAAGAAAUGGCAGUCUCCUUUACAUUUAAAGUCAUGGAUGGUUCUAUAUGUGUGUGCGUGUACAUAUAUACAUAUAUAUUUUUAUAUAAUUCCAUGGUCCUUGCAUUUUUUUUUACUCCUGUGUGUGUGUUCCAUGCAUCAUAGUAUUGAAGACAACCAGGAAAAUAUUUAUUUCUUUUUUAAAACAUGAAUUCAGUGUCUCAUCAGUCAUUACAAAGUGUCUCUCCCUGAGGUGGCUCAUGAAAGGUUGCUACCUUAUACAAAGAAUUCAUUUGCACCCUGGAUUAAUGUGUCAGAAGGCCUGUGUCCUUUAGUGUCACUGUCAGCACCUGGUGGUACUCCAGGUGGCACACCCAGAGGCUUUUGUGAGCUUUUGCUAUGAGCAGCAGCCAUUAGCGGUCAGGCUUCCCAUUCUUGGACAGUCCGAGGCGGUGAUCUUUAAGAUUAUACUUGAACUGGACCAGAGAUUGUUUUUGUGAGAUUUUGAAAACCAGAACUAUUAGUUAAUUUAAGUUUGAACUUGUAAAGUAUUAGAAUAUUUUGAGUCUCUUAUAUAAAUUGUCACCACUUUUUCUGAUCUCUAUAACUGACCUAAAGUGUUUGUUUUUACAAAAGGAUAAAUGGUUUUUAAUAAAGAGAAUUUGAAAGC
rnacentral:lncRNA from 1 species